rnacentral:misc_RNA from 1 species
UCUCCGUAGGUGAACCUACAGAGGGAUCAUUACUAAGUAAGGGCUUACGCCCGACCUCCAACCCUUUGUAAACGCAACUAGUUACUUCGGGGGGCGACCCUGCCGUUCGGCGCGGCGCCCCCGGAGGUCAUUAAAACUCUAUAUCUCUGCGUCGGAGUUAUAAGUCAAUUGAACAAAACUUUUAACAACGGAUCUCUUGGUUCUGGCAUCGAUGAAGAACGCAGC